AGGGCAGGGCAGCAUGACCACCAGCCAUGGAAAGUCUGUGUGUGUCAGGGUGAAGCGCGGCGUCGGGUGAGGGGCCCGGCAAGGGCAGGCAGAGGAGCAAGCACCCCUUGGAGGGCACUCCAGGCACUAAGCCUUCCAGCGUUUGAGGCUGGAGAGCCCCGUCAUCAGCCACCUGUGGAGGCGCAGGCCUUCCCUCCAGGUGCUGCCUCGCCACUACAAAAGCGGGCUGUGUGAUGAGACUUGUUAAGCGCAGCUUUGCGUGCUCUCUGUUCUGUUCACACUGUCUUGCAAAGUAGGUAAUAUCCUCACUUUCGCUUCCCCAGUGAGGAAACUGGGAUUCAGAGAAGUCAAAGUCACCAGCAAGGAAGUGGCCGAGUCUGAACUUGAACUCCCUGGUGGUGCCGCCAGUGCACUUUCCUCCUCCUGAGAUGUGGGUUGAUUCUGCAGCACCCACAGGCAAAAAUGGACUGUUUGGUGUUGGAGGCUGAGCAGAGGUGGGCAAAAAGGAACAGAAGGAGAGUAACUGGUGAAGAAGGAGCAAAGAGUGAGGCACA
rnacentral:lncRNA from 1 species